rnacentral:misc_RNA from 1 species
UCUAGACCGGUUUCUGCUGGGCAGAG